GGGUAGUUCGGAUUGGAGUAGAACCUGGCUAGAAGAAGUCUGGAAGUGAUUCGGGGAGCAGCUGAUAGUCGUAGAAAGUCGGCUGGCGGCGGAGCUUAGUGAGCGCUGAGGGCGGUUUAAUAGAUAACUGGGGGAACUCAUGUUGAAAGAGCUCGGGUGGUGUAGUGGGAGUUCGUCCGUCGGGGAAAUUCAGUCAGCAC
rnacentral:lncRNA from 1 species